CUUUUUGUUGUUGUUGUUGUUGUUGUUGCUAUUUCUUGGGCCACUCCCGCGGCAUAUGGAGGUUCCCAGGCUAGGGGUUGAAUCGGAGCUGUAGCCACCGGCCUAAGCCAGAGCCACAGCAACGUGGGAUCCGAGCCGCGUCUGCAACCUACACCACAGCUCAGGGCAACGCCGGAUCGUUAACCCACUGAGCAAGGGCAAGGACCGAACCCGCAACCUCAUGGUUCCUAGUCGGAUUCGUUAACCACUGCGCCACGACGGGAACUCCGGAAUGAUGUAUCUUUAUAGGGAUGCAGUUAGGAGUUUAUUAACUGCUUUUUGGAAGUCAGUGUAGGAGUAGGUAGUGUUGAUGUGUUUGGUGCGGGUUGUUUCCUUAACUGUUUUAGUUAACCAGCCACAGCAACAACCAGAAACACACGAAUUAGGAAUUUGUCUUAGGUAUUCAGGUAUGAGAGUGGCUCUACUCAAAGUUUGGCUUAACUGCUUGGUGGCAAGUUGAAGUGCUCCAUUUAAAGUGGCAUGAUCUCUAGAAAGCCAGCUGGGAUUCAUAAGGGGCUUCUGAAAAGGUGGGACGCCCCAAGAAGCCAGAGGAGGCCAUUCGGAAAUUGGUUCCAGUUUGGGUACACAAUGGGAACAAUGGGAGAGUCUUAGACCUAUCCCUCGAAGUAUAUGGACUGGUGUGCUAGCAUCCAAGAGUUUAGCAUGUUAUAACCAGGAAUUACGAUUUAAAGGUUUCCAAGUUGUAGAAUAUUUUAAAAGGCACUUAACCUGCCAGGCAAGACUCUCCAGAGGUGUUAGGCAGGACACCACAGGGUCCUCUUCUUCAGAGGAAUCCCUCUCUUCUCCAGAACUCUCAUUUAGGUAGUUAGCGUUUUCUUCUUCCUCACUUUCUGAUUCUGAUAAUGGGUCAGGAGAGGGAUUUCUAGGACCCAUUAGAAGAGAACAACAGUAUAGAAAAAAGGAACCAGAAGAAGGAAACAAUCCAGGCCAGCAAAACACUAACAUUGGCCAAUAGAAGCAAAAGAUGAAAAAAUCCCUUCAGUAAGAUUCAUUUGUCUGUUUCUCAGUCCAUUACACACACACACUAUGCCUCUGGCUUGCAAUAAUGUGCAGUUCUUCAAGAUUAUGUUGUAUAUUCUUCAUUUACAAAGAAGACAGUUCAGUUCUCAGGACCAGUUCAGGGUGUAAGAGUUAGUUACUCACCAGUGGUACGGGUCAGUCUCUCCUUCAAAUCCUGGCUACCCAAGAAGAGAAAGGGCUCUCAUCUAGGCAAGCUGAUUUCUUGGCAGGGUCUCAAUUGGUUGUGAUAUUAAGAAGAGACACUUUGUGUACUCUUUUGUUGGCAGGGAUAUUAUAUUUAUUUGGUAACAAAAAGAAAUUCAGUGGUCACCUCCUUUGUCUGCUGGUGCAGCAACUUUUAUGCAGGGGGAUGGUGAGAUGAGUUGCCAAGGAUCUGUCUGGAGUACAUGGAUCUGAUGUUUUCCAUUGAUGGUGCAAGUGCCCUUGGAAACUGGUGACUUAGUUGUUGGAUUAUCUGGAAAAGUAGCCUUAACCUGUGAAUGAGAAGACUAGAAACAUGAUAUUAAAGUCUGAAUGCACUGGGUAACGUUAUUAUCCAUCUAACUUCAUAGAGUAUCUAAGCACAUUAAUGCUGAGCAAGAAGCCUUAUUGGUUUUCCUGUUUCUAGCGCACAGUCUUAGGCAGAAUUUCAUACUGGGAAUGGCUCCUGACAUGACAAAAUUGAGGAGAGCCUGAGGCCACACUAAUACUUAACUGGCACAUAUUUGGGCCAGUUUGUUUAUUCUGCACUUCUAGCCUAGAAAAUUUGUUCUGCAGCAAAAGCAGAUCUCUUAUGCUCCCAACUCCAAACAGUGAGCUACGAAAGGUAUCUUUAUGUCUUUAGAGGUGCCUGUUGAGAUUUUAGUUUUAGGGAAACUGUCCCAGUUCUAGAGCUGCUAGAUGUUAGACCUCUUGCUGGGACUCCAGAGAUUGUGGUCCGAUGACCAUACUUUAUAGAUAUGAGAGAAGAUGGAGGUAUAAACCUUAAGUAGCAGGAAUUACAAUGAAUGUAAACAGCUUAAAUUCACAACUAAAAGCAGACACUUAGAAUGUAUUAACACAACAAAAAAAGAUUCAACAAUAUGCUAACAAAAGACAAUUUAAAGCAAAAGGACACGGUUAAAAAUAAAAAGAUGUAAAAAGAUAUAUCAGAUAACUGCGGACCAGCAUAAAGCUGGAAUAGUAAUCUUUACAUCUUAAGAUUUCAGGCCAAAAAAUAUAAGGGAUGAAAAUGGAUGAUAAUACUGGCAAAAGGAAAAGAAUAAAAGUGAAACACUCAUCAUAAACAUCUAUGAACCUAAAAGCACAUCCUCAACAUUUUUCAAAUAACAACUAAUAGAACUGAGGGGGGACUACAAGCAGGGAUAUAAGCAUCCUGAAAAAGUUAAAAUAUUAAUAUACUUUAGGUAUUAUAUUAUUUAAGUAUACAAAACUCUAUACCAAACAGAAUAUACUUGAGUACACACAUAUACACACAAAUACUUUAUGCAUUAGGGUGUAUGUAUAACUAGAUUCCAAAGGGUCAAUUUUAUUUAGAUUAAAUUCUCUGAGCAAAAUGCAAAAAAAGUAGAUAUUAAAGGUUAGUUAAAAGUAAUCCUACGAUAGGAAACUAAAUGACUCAUGGAUUAAUAAAAUGGAAAUCAUGAAAGACAUUAAAUAUAAAACUGAAUAAUAAUAUAACCCUACAAGGCAAAAUUUGUGGGGCAUGGCCAAACCAGUUUCUAGAAGAAAUUUAUAGCUUUGAAUACACUGAUGUGGAAACAAAGAAGUUUAAAUACCUACAAGUUAAGCAUUUAAUUCAGAUAAUGGAAAAGAGCAUCAGCAAAAUAAGAGAAAGGAAAUAAUAAAGGCAGAAAUUAAAUAGCAUAAAAUAGAGUGAUAGAGACAAAACUGAAAGACAGUUUUCCAAAAAUAUGAAUAAGUAGAACAAAACUGGUGAGACUUAUCAAGAAAGAGAUUUGGAGUUCCCGUCAUGGCACAGAGGAAAUGAAUCUGACCAGGAACCAUGAGGUUUCGGGUUCAAUCCCUGGCCUUGCUCAGUGGGUUACGGAUCCAGUGUUGCUGUGAGCUGUGGUGUACAUUGCAGACUGGCUCAGAUCUGUGGCUGUGGUGUAGGCCAGCAGCUACCGCUCCGAUUAGACCCUUAGCCUGGGAACUUUCAUAUGCCGUGGGUGCGGCCCUAAAAAGACAAAAGAAAAAAAGAAAAAAAAAAGAAAGAAAGGGAUUUAAGGAAAGGGAUUCCCAUUGUGGCUCAGGGGGGUUUAUGAACCGGACAAGUAUCCAUGAGGACAUGGGUUCAAUCCCUGGCUACACUCAGUGGGUUAAGGAUUUGGUGUUGCCUUGAGCUGUAGGUGUAGGUCACAGACGCAGCUCUGAUCCUGCCUUGCUGUGGCUGUGGUGUAGAGUAGCAGCUAAAGCUUCAAUUCGACCUCCUAGCCUGAGAACUUUCAUAUGUCGCAGGUGCGACCUUAAAAAGCAAAAGAAAAAAAAAAAGAAAAAGAUUUUAAAAUAGCCCAACUGAUUAAAAAUAAAAACAUACUAAAAUGUCAAAACCCAGAUAAAAUGGCUAAAUUCUAGAAGAAUAUGAAAUAAUAAAAUUCAUGUAGGAAUAGAUAACUUGAAUAAAACAGACCAGUAUUAAAGAAUCUGGAAAGGUGACAACCACCAAUUAAAAAUACCAGGGGCAAAUGGUUUUAAAAGUGAGUUCCACUAAUCUCCUAAGGAAAUUAAUACCUAUUUUCCAUAACUUGCUCCAGAAAAAAGAAAAAAGCAUACACCUGGCUAGUUCCUUUUAUGAGGAUAAUAAAAUAUUAACUCCAAAUCUAGAGACAAAACAAGUAAGAAAGGUACAGGCUUAGUUUUCACUUGCAAAAACUUCAAAUAUUACCUCACUCAAUGUAUCAAAGAAAACAAGUGUAUCAAAGUGUAUCAAAGAAAACAAGAAAGUUAUGAUCAUGUAGAGCUUAUCACUGGAAAGCAAGAAUAUCUCAACUGCAUAAAAUUUAUAAACAUGUCACUACUGUAAUAAAAUUUUCAAUUUUAUUAACUGUGGAUAUUUAGAUCUUGAUCAACACUUAUUUAUGCUUUAAAAAAUAAAGCACUCCUACCAAACUAGGAAGAGAAAGUUAUUACUUUCUCAACAUGGUAAAAAAUUAUCUACCAAAACUUUCAGCAAGUAUUAUCCUAAAUGAGAGACUUUAUAUAUAUUCCCUUUAAAAAUUAAAUGAUGAUUGUGAUGACUGAUGUUGUGUAAUAGUGUAACAAAGCCCUAAUCAAUGUUAUUUACACAGAAGAGGUGUGAGAACUGGAAGAAAAGAGAAAAACUAUUAAUUUACAAAUGAUAUGGUCAUCUAAUAGUUUUUAAAAACUUAAUAUAGAAAGAGCUAAUAAAAGAGUUUAACAAAGUUCCUGGAUCUGAGAUUAACCAAUGAAUAGUCAUUAAUUUAUUUAUAUAGUACUUACUAUUUGUCAGGUACUAUUCUAGGAAUUGCACAAAUGUUAACACAUUUAAAAUUCUCCUAACCAUCCUAUAAGAUAAGUACUGUUAUUAUCCAUACUUUAUAUAAUGUAUAAGCUACCUGUCUAAGGUCAUAUUAUCUACUAUAUGAUAGAAUCAGGAUUUGGCCCUAGGCAUUCUUAACUUCUAUACCAGCAAUGUUAAUCAUAAAAUGUUACAUACAUCAUUUUCACAAUAGGGAAGAAAACACACACACACACACACACACCAAACCUUUAAAGGAUUUAAGAACUAAUCAAUAAUAUGUAAGACGUCUAUGAUGAAGACUGCAGCAUUCUAAUCACAUGAUUUAAAACAAACAGACAUUCCAUGCUCUUGGAUAGAACAAAUGAAUAUUACAAAGAUAACUUUUUCAAAAUUAAUUUAUACAAUCCCAGCAUCUUAAGAAUAAAAUUCUACAUAUAGCUAAACCAACUAUUUAAGCAGAAAAGUAAAGGUUCUUGGCCUACAAGAUAUUAACACAUAUUAUAGAAGCCACAGAAAUUAAAACAAGGUGGAGUCAGGGUAAAAAAAAAUAGUCUGAUGGAACAAAGCUUGGAAAUGGAGCCACAUAAAAUUUUGGGAUGUAGUAAACAGUAAAGUUAGCACUCACAUCAAGAGGGAGUGAAUGCCUUUGGUACAUAACAUUGGUAAGACUGUCUCAUUAUAUGAAGAAAAAUAAAGCUGCAUACCUAUAUAAUGCCAUAUACAAAGGAAGACUCACGAUUGAUUAAAGGCCUAACUGAGAACUGUAAAACUCUGUAUAGUUAAUAGAAUAUAAUGCAGGAGGGUAUCUUUGUGACUUAGAUCCAGAGAACUUCUUAAAUAAAAAAACAUAAAGCCCAAGACCAAAAUAUGAUGAAUUCAAUCACAUCAAAAAUAAAGUUAACUAUAAAUCAACAGCAACAACAACAAAAGGCAGCAAUUUCAAUAAAGAAAGGGGGCGAAGGACAAAAAUAUCCACUUUAGAGAAGAGAAAAUCCACAGGCUAUAACUGUAUGACAAGAUAUAGCACAUUAUUCUAUCAUUUUGGUAAAAAUUAGAAAGCUGGACAAUGCCACGUGUUAGCGAGGGGACUAAAGGAUCUCCUUCAGGAACCAGCACUGCUGGUGGGAUUAUAGAUUUGGGGAGCCUUUCCAAAGAGCAAUGGGGCACCACGACUUAGCCAAAAUAACUUCUUUGUCCAUUUCAUGAUCCAGCAAUUCUACUCUUGGGUAUAUAUAGCAGAGAAAUUCUCUGUAAGACCAACAGGUACUCUAAAGCUUCCUCUUUGAUGGUAAAGAAUUAGAAGCAUUCUCGGUUUCCAUCGCUGGAGGAGUGGAUAGGGAACUUGUGGUUAAAGCACAUUGUAAGUAUACAGAGCAUCAAGGAUGGAUUAAAGGCACCAGUCUAAAUGAUGAAACAAAACCCAAAUAGCAACACCCCAAUUAUGCCAUUCUGUAAGGAUGAUUUCCAAAACGAAAGUCGGUAAAACAUUUCUAGUUUCAAAUAUACGAGGUCAUAGGGUAUGGUAUUGUGUCAGUCAUAUUCCUCAAAAGAAUAUUUCUCUGGCUUCUUAUUCUUCUAUUUAAUUCUGCUGUCAGCAGUACCUGGCAUAUAUUAGCAGCUUUAAGCAAAUUUUUUGAAAAAAUUAAUGAGAGAAUGAUGAAGGCCUGCUGUAAUUACCUAUUCAAGGAUGUCUUGCUUUUAUUCUAGGGAUACAGAAAUUUCCAGGUUAUAUUCAGGUGAUUUGGCAAUAUGUUGUACAAAGGCAAAUGAAACAACUUUUUCUUAAAAAAAAAUCAACAAGGAUAAUGCUACUAAAGCAAGAUAAAGGGAGCUGCUCAUAAUUGCAUCUUUAAGAACAUGAAAUGCAAACACUUUCAAAAGUUUAUAUUACAUAGUUCAAUCUGAAAAGAGGAAAUUUAAAAUGUACCAUAGGUAUUUCACUGAGACAAGAGUUGUUAGCUUGUUUCUGUCCUCUUAUAUUUUUUACUAUUUUCCUUUCAACCAGAUUCUAUUUCCAAGAUUAUUAUAGGCUGCACUUCAGUUAUUGUGUUACUCAUAGCAUUCUCUAAAAGGCUCACUCUACUUUUUUUUUUUAGUAGAAAUGACAGUUUCUUUGAAAGCAUACGUAAAUUCUAGAGUGAACCCAUCACUGUUGCUGCUUUACAUUCCAUGUGCAUAAUGUCCUCAUAUCAACAGUGAAUUUAUCAUUUACUCUAUAUAGUCCCAAGUAUAAUUCACCUUGAAUGAUUUUUCUGUAACUUCAGAAAUAUCCUUGCCAUAUACAUUUUUUAGUUUGCUUAGUUUAGUUGCUACCAUUUGUUCUUUUUCUCCAUAGCAUUAAAAGAAAGUAAGUCAAGACACAGGUAAUCCAAAGGCAGUGUGUAAGUUUAAGUUUAAUAUAGCAUCUUUUUUUUUUACCAGUUUUAUUGAGGUAUGACUGACAAAUUGCAUAUAUUUAACAUGUACAAUGUAAUAUUUUGAUAUAUGUAUUCAGCGUGAAAUGAUUACCACAAUCAGGCUAAGUAACGUAUCUAUCACUUCACACUUUAUUUUGCAUGUGAUAACACUAGAGAUCUACUCUCAACAAAUUUUAAGUAUACGUAAUUAUAAACUAUAGUCACCAUGAUGCACAUCGAGUCUCCAGAAAGUCUGUGCGCUUUGAUAAACAUCUCCCUUUUCCUCCACCCCCCAGCCACUGAUAACUCCCAUUCUACUAUUACUAUGAAUUCACCUUUUAAGAUUCCACAUAGAAGUGGGAUCAUACAGUAUUUGUCCUUGUGUUCGUUUUCCUUAGCAGAAUGGCCUCCUGGUUGACCCGCGUUGUUGCAAAUUGCAGGAUUUCCUUAUUUUUUAAGAGUUAAUUGUGUGUGUAUAUAAAUAUCACAUCUUCGUUAUCCAUUCAUUCAUUGACGGGUGCUUAGAUUAUUUCCAUACUUUGACGACUGUGAAUAAUGCUGCAACAAAUAUGAGCAGAUACAUUUUUGAGAUAGUGACUUUAUUUCCUUUGAAUAUAUACUUAGAAGUGAGAUUUAUAUGACAGUUCUAUUUUUACUUUUUUGAAGAACCGCCUAUUAUUUCCCGGCAAUAUGUUUAAAGAUCCUCUUUCCUCUACAUCCUCACCAACACUUGUUGUCUUCUGACUUUUUGUGAAGUCAUCCUGAUAGGUGUGAAGCAAUGCCUUAUUAUGGUUUGAUUUGCAUUUCCCUGAUGUCUGGUAAUGUUGAACACCUUUUCAUAUACCUCUUGGCCAUUCAUAUGUGUUCUUUGGAAGAACGUCUACUCAGAUCCUUUGCUCUCUCUCUCUCUUAAGGGCCACACCUGCGGCAUAGGGAAGUUCCCGGGCUAGAGGUUGAACUGAAGCUGCACCUGCCGGCCUAUGCCAUAGCCACAGCAACACCGGAUCCGAGCUGCAUCUGUGACCCACACUGCAGACUGUGGCGAUGAUGCAUCCUUAACUACUGAGUGAGGCCAGGGAUCCAACCCACAUCCUCAUAGAAACUAGUUGGGUUCUUAACCCACUGAGCCACUCCUUUUGCUCAUUUUUUAUUCUUUUUUUUUUUUUUUUUUUUUGCUACUGAAUUGAGUCCUUAUAUACUUUCUGAUAUUAAGCCCGUAUGGGAUAUACGGUUUGCAAAUAUUUUCUCCCACUCCAAAGGCUGCCAUUUUUGUAAUCUAGUAUCUUUUUUUUUUUUUUUUUUACUUCUCAAGAUAUAGUGCUGGGACAAACACGUUAUUAAUCUCUCCACCUCCAAAGCUAAUCAAACAUAGUUAGGCUGACCUCUGGUGGCCAGAUAUCUCAUCCUUCAGUAUCUGACGAAAUGGUAUGAAGGUACGUCUCAUUUGUGGGGUGACAGCCAAAUAAAAUAUGGUAAAGAAAAUACUCCUGUU
rnacentral:lncRNA from 1 species